rnacentral:rRNA from 1 species
AUGAUCCUUGCUCUGCCAAUUAGAGCUGAGCCGUUAGUCUCUCCACCAGUGUCUAAAACAUGGGCACAAAAUAUAUCAGACCGUCUUGGGAUGACAAUGCCAGAAUCACAAUGUACUAGUGGCCCUCGUGGCAUCCCACUCACCUGGCUUCAUGAUAACUUUCUUAAUAUUUCUAGCUUCGCUGAUUCUGAGACGAGGAAAAGACAUCUGUUUGCGUAUUUGUUGUGGCUCCUUGGGGUUAUGUUUCCAAAUUCACACGGGGACGUACUUCUCCCUGGUCUCAUCUACAUUGUGGAGAAGAUGGUAAAUGAACCUUUACCCGAGCAUCCAAAAUACAGCUUCGGUUCUGCCAUUCUAUCUCAUACAUAUAGAGGCUUGUGUGAUGCCACACAAAAAUCUUCCUUUGCCAAAAAAGCUCCGUUACUUUGUGUCCCUUACGAGUUUCUAUAG